AUUGAACGCUGGCGGCAGGCCUAACACAUGCGAGUCGAGCGGAUGAAGGGAGCUUGCUCCUGGAUUCAGCGGCGGACGGGUGAGUAAUGCCUAGGAAUCUGCCUGGUAGUGGGGGAUAACGUCCGGAAACGGGCGCUAAUACCGCAUACGUCCUGAGGGAGAAGGUGGGGGAUCUUCGGACCUCACGCUAUCAGAUGAGCCUAGGUCGGAUUAGCUAGUUGGUGGGGUAAAGGCCUACCAAGGCGACGAUCCGUAACUGGUCUGAGAGGAUGAUCAGUCACACUGGAACUGAGACACGGUCCAGACUCCUACGGGAGGCAGCAGUGGGGAAUAUUGGACAAUGGGCGAAAGCCUGAUCCAGCCAUGCCGCGUGUGUGAAGAAGGUCUUCGGAUUGUAAAGCACUUUAAGUUGGGAGGAAGGGCAGUAAGUUAAUACCUUGCUGUUUUGACGUUACCAACAGAAUAAGCACCGGCUAACUUCGUG
rnacentral:rRNA from 1 species